rnacentral:rRNA from 1 species
UACGUAGGUGGCAAGCGUUAUCCGGAAUUAUUGGGCGUAAAGCGCGCGCAGGUGGUUUCUUAAGUCUGAUGUGAAAGCCCACGGCUCAACCGUGGAGGGUCAUUGGAAACUGGGAGACUUGAGUGCAGAAGAGGAAAGUGGAAUUCCAUGUGUAGCGGUGAAAUGCGUAGAGAUAUGGAGGAACACCAGUGGCGAAGGCGACUUCCUGGUCUGUAACUGACACUGAGGCGCGAAAGCGUGGGGAGCAAACAGG